UCUCUAAUCUCUACAAAAUCACUCUCAAAGCUCUUGCAAAUCAGAAAUUCGGACAGAUUCAUACCUCCUUACAAAACUCACAAGUGGUGUCAAGUCUUGAACUUGAAGAUGGAUAACUUGGUGUUCCCUCCAUCAAAUCAACUCUUCACGGAUUCAAGUGGGAAAGCUUGCAAAACCGUGAGUACACUCGACCCAUUUACAUUUUAUACCACUUUUGGGUUGUAA
rnacentral:lncRNA from 1 species